CAACAUUCGGACCGUCGGUCUACCGAGCAAUAUCACCCGCUCGGUGGAAGAUCUUCCCUUUGUCGUAUAUU
rnacentral:pre_miRNA from 1 species